rnacentral:rRNA from 1 species
GAUCCUGGCUCAGAAUCAACGCUGGCGGCGUGCCUAACACAUGCAAGUCGAACGAGAAAGCAGGGGCAACUCUGUGAGUAAAGUGGCGACCGGGUGAGUAACACGUAGCUAACCUACCCUCAAGCGGGGGAUAACCUGGGGAAACCUGGGCUAAUACCGCAUGACAUCCCGACAGCGAUGCUGUUGGGAGCAAAGGUCCGCAAGGGCCACUGGAGGAGGGGGCUGCGGCCGAUUAGCUAGUUGGUGAGGUAAUGGCCCACCAAGGCAAUGAUCGGUAGCCGGCCUGAGAGGGCGCACGGCCACACUGGCACUGACGCACGGGCCAGACUCCUACGGGAGGC